GCCCUAGUAGCUUAGUCAAAGCGCCGGUCUUGUAAUCCGGAGACGAGGGUUAAAACCCCCCCUGAGGCC
rnacentral:tRNA from 1 species